rnacentral:lncRNA from 1 species
AUGGUGAAGAUGUUGCUAAAUCAUCAAAAAUUUAAAAGGCUUUUGGAGCAAUCUGUUUCUACCAUGACCUGGAAGAUAUUCUGUCAAGAAUUAAGAAGAAAGGUGAAGUCUACCUCUGAGGAACACCUCCUACACCGUGCAAAAGCCCAGGUCACGUUACCUCCACCUGUGGAAGAAACGGAGCCGCUCCAGAAGCUUUACAAUCUCCUGGAAGCCAAGGGGUUUCAGACACAGCUGGAAGGAGUGGCAUUCCUUCUCGAGCUGUGCAAAACCAGCCCCCAGCUCAUCUCCACUAACAUUGUCCAAGUAUGUAGGGUAUCUUCAUUGUUCCUUUCCUUUAGCUCCUUUCCCAAGCCUGGAGCAGUGAAGUUCAUUCUGUGUGUCUUGGCACUACAUCCUGGCAGUUUGGGACAGGCUGGUCCCUCUUACACAGACAAAUUUCAUUUGGGUCCAGGCUUCAGAACAAGUUCUUUCAGUCCAGCUGUAUUUGUCAGGCAGGGGCCUAUUGAUGCUGUUCAUCAGAUGAUGACAGAGUUUGCUGCUGCUGUAGCUCCUGCUGUCUCCUACUCCCAGCUGGGUUAAGUGAAGGGAAUACCAGCGCUGAAAGCAUGGCAAUUAUUCUCUCGAUAAAAAAUGGUUGAUCAUGAGGAAGAGAAGUAUCAGGCUGGGUUGGUUUAAACCCAUAUUUUUUGAAAGGUUACUUCUGUAAAGACCACCUUGUCUUGCACAGGCACAGCUCCGGGUU